rnacentral:rRNA from 1 species
UACGUAGGGUGCAAGCGUUAAUCGGAAUUACUGGGCGUAAAGCGUGCGCAGGCGGUUGUGCAAGACAGAUGUGAAAUCCCCGGGCUCAACCUGGGAACUGCAUUUGAGACUGCACGGCUGGAGUGCGGCAGAGGGGGAUGGAAUUCCGCGUGUAGCAGUGAAAUGCGUAGAUAUGCGGAGGAACACCGAUGGCGAAGGCAAUCCCCUGGGCCUGCACUGACGCUCAUGCACGAAAGCGUGGGGAGCAAACAGG